CGUCGGGUUCGCAUGGCACCUGGCCAGGAUGUUGCUUGCCAACUGGCAGCCGGCAAGGGUCACAGUCAAGACACUGUCUCUUCAGGGAGGGAGAGGGAGACAGAGCGCGAGACAGAGCGCGAGACAGAGCGCGAGACAGAGCGCGAGACAGAGCGCGAGACAGAGCGCGAGACAGAGAGCGAGACAGAGAGCGAGACAGAGAGCGAGACAGAGAGCGAGACAGAGAGACAUUGUCAUGAUCUCACUGAUUUGUAACUCUGUUAUGAUAACAAGCAACUCGAACCAUCUCAGCGUCAUCAAAGAGACUUUGCCUUUUUUUGUGUAAUGCCACCAUAGAUUGGUGCCAGUGAGGAAAUGUGUGCAGGAACCCUCAUUUGAAACACCAACCAUAGUUCAAAACUCAAAAUAAAAUCUACUAAAAUGGGAUUUUUGUGAUGAGUCUUAUCAUGGAAAUUCAGUUUUUGGAUGAUCAGCUAUGCUUUGUGGGAGCUCGGACAGCGUGACUAAGCGACCGAAACAGAUUUUUCUUCAGGUUCAUACAACUUCAGGAAACAAGUACGCAAACACACACAGAUCAAAGAGGACAUCCAGAGCGACCUUCAGCCCAGUCGGCGUAUAUCUUGGUUAAAUACUAAAAGCCCUCCACAAACCAGAGCCAAUCUGAAGUGGUCGCACAAUGAAAGACCACCUCGCAAUGAUGACGACGACCACUAAACUUUACUGCCCAAGCCAACUGGAAAUCAAUUAAUUCGUCAUGAUGUGAUUCAUGGAAUAUUCCAAUUUGUGGCAAAGGAGGAGGAGCCAUUUGUUUGGAAAUAGAGAAGGAAUCCAAUACGUACCCCGCCUUUCACCUACUCAGUCGAAGACCCGGAAAUAUCCGUGGAAUUCUACUGAAGAUUUGGUCCUUAGAAAAGCCAGUGAAUGGGACGUGGAAGGACUUGAGGUUGGACGAUGAUAUUGGACUAAUAUUGGACACCCGGAUUCUGCAUAUAAUCUGAAAAAAAAACCACAUACCGGUAAGUGUAUUUUUUCCCAG